UAGGGAGCGAGCGUUAUCCGGAAUUAUUGGGCGUAAAGGGUGCGUAGAUGGUCAAUUAAGUCUCAUGUAAAAAUGCUGGGCUCAACCCAGUAGGGCAUGAGAUACUAAUAGACUAGAGUAUGACAGAGGCAAGUGGAACUACAUGUGUAGCGGUAAAAUGCGUAAAUAUAUGUAAGAACACCGGUGGCGAAGGCGGCUUGCUGGGUCGAUACUGACAUUGAGGCACGAAAGCGUGGGGAGCAAA
rnacentral:rRNA from 1 species